rnacentral:lncRNA from 1 species
AUAAUGAUGACCUGGAUGUCAGUUGAAAUGAUUUGAGAGCUGUUUCAGCAAGUAUAUUGGCCUGGGCUUAGUGGUUGAUUACAUAUGAAGUGAAAGAGAGGGAAGAGACAGGAUGAUGUCAGAUUUCUGGCUUGGGAAGCUGGGUAGAUAGUGAAACCCUUCACUGAGAGAACACAGCAGAAACAGCUUUGGAGGUGUCUGAGAGAUGGAUACAUUUCCUUUUCUCUUGAGUAAAUACCUUGGAGAAGAAUGGCUGGAACACAUCAUAGGUAGAGUGACAUCACAGAAGCUACAGGAGGAGAAUGUUUCCAGGGAGAGAGAUGCUGCUGAAGAAUCAAAAAUGUCUCAUGAGCACAAGACAGAAAGAAUAUUCAAAAGAAACUUCAAGAAUCUUAGCUUCUGAAGGACAUAUUUUUAGUGCAUAUACUGACUCUCACAUUUACCGAACCCCAGCUGCAGCAUUUGUCUCAGAGAACUGCUCUGCUCCUCCCAUUUAUCCCAUUAUUACUUUCAGUUGUGAGAUGAAAAUGUUCUCUUUGAAAUAAAUUGGCUCCUCUAAAUAAAGAAAUGUCCAAAUAGCUACUUCAGUCUCUUAUUUAAUCUCAAGUUAAAUCAAAGAAAAGAUUUCAGCAUAUAGAAACUCAUUCAAACCUGAAGUGACCUUGGUGUUUUUCUCAAUACAUCAAUCAUUGUUAUCACAUUUCUUAGUUUUCUUUUUUUUCAAUUUCUUUUUUUUUUAAAGAUUUUAUUUUUUUCCUUUUUCUCCCCAAAGCCCCCCAGUACGUAGUUGUACAUCCUCCAUUGUGGGUCCUUCUAGUUGUGGC